UCUGUGUACCUGGGGCCUUCUGAAAGUAGUAGCUUCUUUCUUUUAUUUCUGUGCCCAUGGCUUUUGUAUUUGAGCAUAUCUUCACUUGCUGUAGCCUGGGGUCUUGCUGCUCUGUUUUCCAGUUAGCCUGAGAAGUAUUUAAACAGCAACAAGGAGCGUUAAGAUUUGACGUUAGGAUGAACUUCUCUUUCACCGGUGGUAGAGCAGCAAUGGAGACCACAGCACAGAAACAACCACAGAUCCUCUGUCUGCUAGCAGGAGAUACAGUCCUGGCUGGAAUGAUGUAUCUGCCCUGAGGGUGAAAGACGGAUUUAAUGAACAAAAUAAAUGUCCAUCCCAAGCAGUACUGCAAGUUGGAUUUUCCCACAGAAAACAGCAAUUUGUAGUUACUUACCAGGGGAACUGCAGAUUUGCUGAUGUCCCAACUCAGCAGGCUGCAGGACAAGGCUUCUCUGGUGAUCUGGACUUGGCCGACCCUGGUUGCCAUCACAAGACCUGCUCUGCUCUUCAUUAUUAGGUGCUGUACCCUAAGCUUCUUCCUGAAACAGACUGUCGUAUUUGUCCAGCUGUCAAAUUUACUGAUCCAACAAAAGCAAAGGAGUCUCGAGCAAUGCGGAAGAGGCAGAAUGGGUGAGGCAAGACCAACUGUUGGGACUCUGCUCUCUAUUUUCUCAUUACAACUCUGCUGCCCAUGCAUAAUGCCUUUAUUAUUUUCCCCAAAAUAAGAAGAGUCCUCAAAGAACAGAAUAAACCUCUGGCUGCAGUAGGAAUAUCUAGUGCUCUUUAUGCGAGAUGGCCUGGCACUUGAAAUAUUGUAGUCAAGAUCCCACUCCUUUCAAAAUAUUGUAGAUCUGGAAGCAGUACUGAAGCAUCAAGUAUGAUGUCACUUGUCCGUGGUAAGCUCAGCUAUAGCAGGUUGCUCCUGCUGCAGAAGACUAUCCUGGCCCUUCAUUUCUGGACAAUAUCAUCCUUUCUUAUGCUAACGGAUCCCACUUUUUUCCUACCUUUCCUUUCAUAUCAUGUUUUGUGGAUUUCUGUUAAUUCUUAUGGCUCUCUGUUACACUCUUAAUAACCAGCACCAAACACAGUGACCAUGAUGAGAUGGUAACACCAAAUAAAUAAUACUGGGAAUACCCAGUGUGUUCACAGAUUGCAUACAUGUAUCUAUAUUGUGCUUACCCAUUUUAACAACAAUGGGCUGUUAAUGAUUACAUUACAAGCUUUAAACUCCUUUCAAUAAAAAUGAUCCCUAUCUUCUUUUUUUGAACAUGGUAAGGUUCCCCACAAUUGCAGUAUUUUCAUUUGUCCCUGUUCAUUUCAUUUUAUUCCUUCCUUUACAGACCGUUCAUUUAUUUUAUCAAGAUGAUCUCUGGCAGUCUUUGAUUUCUCAUCAAACUUACUUGCACUCUCCCUCAGCUUCAUGGAAAUCUCAGUUCCAUUCUCUAGAUUGUUUAGAAAACACCGUCUUGUGUAGGUCAGACAUACUAUGGACUCUGGACUAUUGACAAUAUUUGUCCUUCUAUUUUGACAGUGAAUUAAUUUUACUGCUGUAUCAGUAUGAUUUUCCAGUUGAUUUUGCACACAUUUGAUAUUAGAUUCUUUCAGACCUGCUUUCUUGCUUUGCUCUUUCAAAGAGUCAUUGUCAACAAUGUUGAGAACAAAUGGAUUAUAGGUGUGGUACUCAAAAGCAAACAAGACUUUACAUCUAUUGAGAGAACAUAACAUACAACAAUUACUGGUUUUCCUUCCUGGUCCACUCAGUAGCUAAAAAGAUAAAUUAAAUUGGAUCUUGACAAAUCCGUAGAUGGAUUCAAAAAUCCAGGUGUGCUUUCUCCCCUUCUUUUGCAAUCCUAACAAAUUGUCACAAAAAGUCACUUUUGGCUAUUUCUCCGGAACUCCGAACAACUGAGUUAAAUUGGCUAGUUAAUAAUUAUUUGGCCUUCUUUUCAAGGUAUGUCAUGUUUGCUUUUAUCUGCUUUUGAGUAUCUCACCCAAAAAUCACGUAUUCUGUAAGACCACCAUCAAUGGUUACAGGAGUAGAUCACCCAGUUCCUGCAGUAUUCCAGGAUGAAAGUUAGUUCUUUGGAAUCAACAAAUUAGAAAAUGCGAAGCCAAGCAAAGUGCUCUCUAACCUAUCUUUUCUCUGUCUGAGGGACAGAUUAUUUCCUUGGCUAUUGAUUUUAAUUGUAGAAGCCACUUUUUAGGGAAUAUUGAUUAAAAAAAAAAAAAGCAUUAUGUAUAUUACCUUCCAGUGUCAUCUAUUAGUAGGCUUCCCCUUCUGUUUACAAGUUCACUAAGCCUGCUUUUCCUAUUACUGAUGCUUUGUUAGAAUGAUUUCAGUAGCCAAGGUUUCUAGGAAUGGCAUGUCAUUUUCUGCCUUGGCCUUCCUGAUGUUGUAUCUGUGUGCUGUUGAAAAUCUGUCUUUAGUACUCCAUUAUACUUCCUGCUUCCUGCAAAAUUUCCUCUAAUGUAUGAGAUCAAAAUGACCUAACCUAUCUGAUUGCUUACUCCCUGCUUAUCUUCUGCAACUGGAGAAUUUGCACUUGCAUCUUUAAUACCAUUUCUUUGAAGUUAUGUGAUUUCUUUCAAUUUCCCCUUUUACCUUGGAUCAAUCUUCCAGGAAAUCCUACCUAAUGACCCUCUGGAUAACUUAAAUCUGCCCUCCUGAAAUCCUGUUGCUUUUACUGCAGUGUUGCCUCUUUCCAUAUGAAGGAAAUGUGAAUUCUGUCAUUUCCCCAUCACUGACACCUGAGAUACUCUUUGACCCGGCCCCAUUCUGUGCCUCUGUUUGUUGGUUUGGAUCCAGCACUCCUCUGUGGCAAACCAAAAGAAAGGCUGCAGGGGUCUGACUCUGUCAGCACAUAGCAAACAGUUAAUGCAUUGUAAUGGGGGUAAUAAAGGAGUAAUUUUAUGUAUCGUUCUUCUGGUUUUGGUCACAACUAGUCACAGAAUGCUUUAUCCCAGGCACACAAGCCUGUGAGAGUGCUUUUACUCGCUUGAAAUAUGCAUGUUAAAAAUAACAGCAUUAAUUCUUACCUUACCACUUCACCACAAAUAAAUGUAAAGGAAUAUAUAAAGAGUGUGAAUAGCAUAUAUCUAGCCAAAUACAUGUGUUGUUACAAAAAACUUAGUUUCAGCAAUGUUAAGAGUCCCCUCUGGUCCAUAUCUUGGGUUUCUCUUAUAUUCUGCUACUGAUUUGUUCUGUGACUGCAGAGACAACUUGUAAAAGCAACCACUGACAUUUUGACCAAUCUUCUAAGAGAAUAAUCCAGACCAGGGGACAGUGAAGUGAUUAUAUAAUUUCCCUACCUGAUUUUUUACAACCUGCUUCUUACUCUGCUCCUGUUAUGGCACUGAGUUCAGUGACGAGGCACACUCACUUAACUGCCUCAUUGCAGUUAAUUCUUUGAAUAGUUAAUGCUUGCUUUAUGUGAAUUUUCUUAACAGACACCACACCACUCUAUGGCUGCAUUGUUCUUUUCCCAAGGUGGUCUUUUUUAUAGUGUGAGAAGUACAACAUUGUUGUUUUCUUUCCUGAUUAGAAGCCUUUUGGACAAGAUUUAUGCAGGGAUUUGUGUGUAUAUUGGCCUAUAUUUGUGUAAGGCCAGGAGAAAGAAGAGAACCCCUGUAACUGUGUUUCAACAGCUUUCCAGAGAAACAGUUUAUGAUGUCCUUGUUCUAAGAACAGUUAUUUGAAAUAGCCUUAACAGGGAUCAAAAUCAUGGGUUCAAAUUUACUCCCUGUAAGGCCUUAUCUCCAAGCGUUGGCUCCAAGGCUUACAACCAAGAAAGAUCUCCCAGGUCCUCAUGUUUCUGCUCUGCCUGCCAUUCAUAUGUCAGAGCACUGAGAACAUGGGUCACUACACGUGCCCUCAGAUAUUCAAGUCAACUGUUCAAAAAAUAAAUAUGGAAACUGACUUCCCUUAACUUCCCACUCUCCAUUUCUUUUCAAUUCAAAUGAGAUCUGCCCUUCUUUCCCCCGUGACUUGCUACUCUAUAACACCUGCAGCUCCUUUCAUAUCAUGCUGGAUCUCUCCUGGACUCUCUACCAUCUCAUCUUUCACACUCCUUUCCAGAUCUCCCCAGAUUUGUGAAGCACACUAUUGCUUUCCACUGUUAAAUUAAAAUAGCAAAGUAGAAAAAAAGAAGCAAACCCUUAGCGCAUUACUUUCUUCUAGGCCUACUACACCUCCCUUAGUUGCCUGCUGGUGUGAACUAAAAGCUCCUCAAGAAGAGAGCUCUCGCGUGUAUUGCUUUGUACACUGCUGGCUCCCUGAACCAUCCCCAAUGGGAUAUGAACAACACCUUGAUGUCACUUCCUUGCCACGGACAGGAUCCAAAGUAUUUGUUAGCAGUAGGCAGGCAACUGAAAUUGAAGAUAAGCAAAGAACCAGAGCUCUUGCUUGAGUACAGCAUUGACAGACGUAAAAGUUGCUUAAACUGUCUGAAGUAGAUCAUUCAGAGGAGCCUCAGAAAGAGGCAAG